ensembl:lincRNA
AUGGAUCUCAAAACUAUGAUUUCUUUACUCAUUUAUUUGAAAUUUAAUUUUAUUUGUAUCUUUCCUUUCUUUAGUUGUCUUAAAUUCUUCUUUGAGACAAGAUGGGAUAAAGCCAAUAAAUCAGUAACUGACAUAAAUAACAAGGGCCUUCCAGAUUUACACAAUGCUUGCAGGGAUAAUUCACCACACCUGAAAAUCUAUCGCUAUCCAGUUGUUGAGACAGAAAGUCAAAUCCAGCAUCAGCUUCCUCUAUUUUUGACAUCUUCAGUUCCCCAAAAAGAAUUUCACAUGUGUGUGCAAACUGGAGGGGUCAAGGCUGGUGUUAAGAAGGAAAAGGACUUGAGGGGGCUCUAGAGCAGUAUGCGGGAAAGUUGGAAGGGACCUGCGCAAAGACAAAGGCUGGGGUUGUCUUUAUGUAUGUGGAUGUAGAAAGGACACCCAAGGAGUACAAAAUCUGUGUUAGGAAUCAGUGGGAGAAUGAAGUGAUCUGAAGAAAAAAAUCAAGCUGUACAGCACCAGCCACUUAAACUUGGCAGAGAAUGUGUACCUGCCACAGCAGGCUUAUGCACACCUGGCUAGGAAAGAGGCAGGCAGACCAGUUAGAAGGCUGCUGCCACACUAGAUGAUGAGGUCCUGAGCUAGGGUAUCCUGGCAUAAAAAAGAAGCACAGGUAUUAGCAGAAUUUCAUGGGGUGGGCAUACAUCUUUUGGGACUCAGAACCUCCUUUUGCCUGAAGCUAAUUGGAUCCCAGGGGCAUUAAAUCCCUGACCUGGGCCUCAUUAGCACAAGUCCUGCCCACUGGAGUGCACCAGCGUGGGUGCUGAUCUUAAUAGGUUGCUAUUUUUACUGCUGGAGACUAAAAGAAGUAUUUAGUUUCUAUAUAACCAUACAUAGAAUAGAGAAAACUUUACAGAGCCUUUGCUAUCUUAGUGUUUUCUUUUUUUUUAGUAAAAUAGGAGUAAUUUGGGAAAUUGUCACGCUGACCACAUUUUUCUCUUCCUUGUUAGGUUGGGUCUUGGUCGGGUCUUGGGGUCAAGGUGUCUGAGAUAAACACUCUUAGAGAAGUUCAAUUUCAGAAGAAUUCUAUUAAAUUUUAGAUUUUCUUUGUUUACAUAUUAACAGAAUUUACUAAGAUCCAAACAUACAAAAACUUGAAAACAUCCAAUUAGAUUUCUUUACAUGUUAACUUUUAAUUCAAAUAUUUGUCAUCCUGCAGAUAAUACUGUUUGGUCUAUAAAACACAUAGUAAAGUAAAAAUGUGGUAAUUACUCCAUCCACUUGAAUCAUAUAAAAAGUCAAAACAAAAUGAGGAUUACAAAGUGAUUUCAUGCCCAAGUACUUGGGCCAAGUCUUUAAUUAACUGGCUGGCUGCCAAAAUUCACUUUACUUUGUUCUUUGAUGACACAGCCAAUGAAAAGAAACAAGUCAUAAGAAGAUAGGUUGGGGAUGGAACAGCAAAUUGCUUUUAAAAAUUAAGCAUUUAGUUAUUAGAUUUUGCUUGGGUCUUUCUAGCUUAAUUUAAAUCUUUUCAUAUUCUGAAUGUACUUGCUUGAUCAAAUUUUAAUUUGCUAUAAAAGAACACAUGAAUCAAAGUUAAAUAUUAAAGUGUCUGGGAUUUUAAAUACAAUAUUUUAAAAUGAUCAAAUCAAAUGUUUAAACUCAAGUGCUCACCCUGACAGAAUAAGUUGUCUGGGAGUCCACAAGCAGGUGGGAAGUGCUCACUGAUCCAGGCCAGGAGCAGCUGCAUGAGGUCAUGGUUCUGUGUUAUCACCCAGACAUUAGCCAUUUGCACAGCGAAUGCUACAAGGGAUGUGAUGACACCUAGCUACAGCUUGAAUGUGUGUUUGAGAUAUAAAUAUGUUCCGUGGGUAAACAACCUCUAAAACGUAGGAUUACAGGAUAAGAAUCCUCAGGAUUAGGAGGAGCUGUCAUUGCACUCAUAAACCACAGUAAGAAAGGUAGAAGAAAAAUAGUACUGUAUUCAUUACCAGGUCAAGGGUCCGUUUCCCUUGGGAAAAUGAGACAGCAGUGUCAGCUACCUCAUUAGCAUGAAGUAGCACUUAAGAGAGUAGGUUUGGUGUGAGGCUAGUUUUUACCACUUACUACAUCUGUCACAUUUGCAACUUGCUUAAUUUCUGUUAUCUCAGUUUCCCUGCCUAUGAAAUGGGGAUGAUUAUAGUCUCUGCCUCACAGAGUUGAUGUAUGGUUUAAAUAGUUAACAUGUACAUUUUCAAAUGUACAGAAAUGCUCAAAUGGAGUUUAUUAAGCAUGUAAGUAAAUAAAUAAAUAAAUAACAAAUUGCCCCAAAUCAGGUAUAAAGCAGGGACCUGCCAGGGGUUUACCAGUAACUAACCCUUUUUUGAACAACCUGUAUAGCUACUUAAUCAAUACUGUCUCUGUUUUAAAAACAUGCUCUCUGUAGGGCUCUUUAAAAUAGUGAGUGUAGAUAGCACAACAGUGAGAUAACGGAGUUAUUUCUAGAAGGAAGGGUAUUCAGAAGAGUAAAGCUUUGUUUUUAUUCUCAUGUUAUAGGUACUUGGGCACAGAGGUCUUCCAUUCUAGUGGGGCUAAGUAAUUUAUUAUUGAUUUAAACAUUGUUUUCUAAAUUACCAAAAAUAUUGCACUGGCACAUGGUUUAUUUCUCAUCCACAUCAUAAUAUGCUCAGGGAAAAUGCCUCUCUUUAGUGGUCCUUCUCCAUGUGGUGACUUGGGGGCCCAAAAUCCUUCUGUAUUAAAGCACAUCUUAAAUUUGGGAUCCCUCAGUUUGCCGCAGAAAAAGCAAAGGAGGUCUGUCUUUAAAUAAUUAAUUCACAAAUUUAUCCCAAAACAAAAUAAGAAAGGGAGACAAAAGGUAUCAUGUUGCCUUCCCUUAGGAAUACCUGUAGCCCCAAAGAGCAGAGGACAGUAUGACUCAUGCGCCAGAGUCAGGCAGUCUUGGUUGGAGUCAGUGGGUCCUAAGGCAAUUUGCAGCCGUGGAGAUAGCAGGUCUUUAAUACACAUUAGAUGAACUUAGCAAAUGAAUUAAAACUAACAAAACAUCCUGAAUCUGUCUCUCUUUUAGCCCUGCAAUUUUUCUUGGAACCUAUGACAACUUUGCUGAUUUUCUAAUUUCCCUUGAGAAUCACUUCAAAGAAGGACUAGGAAGAAAGAAAAAAAAAAAGGAAUAUUGACAAAGGAUAGGAAGUGUAGCUUAGAAGCCCUGCAAAACUGGCUUUUUUUUUUUUUAAAUGGAUGUAUGAUUAUCUGACAAAUGGUACACAAAGAGCCGUGAGGACUUCCCGUAGGGCCCACAGAAGGUAGAGAGGCUGUCACAGCAAUGGCCCUCGCCAGUCACAUCUCUCAACGGCCACUUCCCUGUAUGGUUCCUUUCAUGACUCAGGGAGAGGCCAAGAAAGUUGGAGCGGCCAGUGGGGCAUCAGCUGAGACAAUCCAAGUGAAGGCUACGAAAACUCCAUACACCGGAAAUUUUCUCGAAAUGCUGUUCUGUCAUAGAUAAGGGGCAGAGAAGUAGGGAUAGAAGACCCCAGGCAUUAAGAGGUACGGCUGGCACCACAUGAGCUCUCUGCAGCUGCUUGACUGAGCCCGAGAGAGACCAGGAAAACUUCCUAGCCAACCCCUAGAGCUGUGAGAAAUAAUAAACUGUCAUUGUUUCAAGUGUUUGGCCAGCUUAUUAUGCAGCAAAGGUGAACAGAAGCUGUUUCCAUACGGUAACUUGAAACUUGAAGCUUUUGAUAAAUGUCAUACAAUCUGGAGCUGCAGAGCUUUCUUCACACCUUAAAUGUUGGCCACAUGGAGACCUGUGGAGACAGUGAUGCUCUCCAGGACUGGCCCACUCAUAGCAGUGGGGAUUCCCCCCACCUUGAUCUUUUCUAUUCAUUGUAAAUUAUUAUCUCUUAGUUGUCUUUCUCUCUCACAAAGUCUGCGUUCUUUGAACAAAGUACAGUAUUGAAAUGGUCCCAAGGGAAACAUUCAUAUUUUUUAAGCUACUGAUCAUCAAAUACCAAUUAUCUUAGGCUUUAAUGUUAUUAAAAUUGCACUUCAGAAGAAAUAAAAAGCUGCUUUUUAUUUGACUAUAUAAUAGUAAUUCUUCUUGGUUGUCAGGAGGAAGAAUACUUAAAGUUGAAAUAAUGCUUGCUCUAAAGCUUGAAAUAAUGCUUGAUCCAAACUGCAACUCUAAGCUGCUGAUCUAACGAACAGAGCCCUGAGGGCAGGGGUCAAAACAGCAAGAAGUGCUGGUAACUGGAGACUUAUCUCUGCUUGAAAAGAAGGACAGGUAAAGUUCAGCUGGGAAUCCCAGAGUCCACACCCCUCUGGCUCCUUGGCCACAGUCCAGUCCAGUCUUCCUUAGUCCUGUCUAGUGACAGCAGCGCAGCGCAAAUCUGAGAAGUCGCUGGAAAAAAUGCUUCAUUCUGAGCGUCUAGGAAUCGGUAAUUCCACUCAGAAUGGGCUAACAUCACUGCCCUAAAGGGGUUCGUGCUCUUGGUAUAGUUCUGUCUUUUUCACGGAGUGACCCCUUCCUAAGGCUUUUCACGUGAAGAAGAAAAUUAAAGUGUUAACAUCAAAAGCUUUUCUAUUUUAAAGAUAUGUACAAAUAACCAUAAGUUUCUUUUACAUACACACAGCCCCUCUCUCUCUCUCUCUCUCUCUCUCUUUCUUUCUCUCUCUCUGGAGGGUCUUUCUCUUACUGUGAAAAAAAUGAAGGGGAAAAAAACCCCAGCUUGCCCAA